rnacentral:rRNA from 1 species
UACGUAGGGGGCAAGCGUUGUCCGGAUUCAUUGGGCGUAAAGAGCGUGUAGGCAGCCAGGUAGGUCGGUUGUGAAAACUGGAGGCUCAACCUUCAGAGGUCGACCGAAACCAUCUGGCUAGAGUCCGGGAGAGGAGAGUGGAAUUCCUGGUGUAGCGGUGAAAUGCGCAGAUAUCAGGAAGAACACCCGUGGCGAAAGCGGCUCUCUGGAACGGUACUGACGCUGAGACGCGAAAGCGUGGGGAGCGAACAGG